CUCUGAUGACGCCACGACGCUGACGCCCGAGGAUGGCGGCGGCCGUGGCCGCGGCCCCGAGACUGUCGGCAGAGCUGCCGAGGCGCCGAAGACCCCGCUGCCCGAGCGAGGUGUAGACGGGGCGCUGCCUGCAGAGCAGGUCCUGCCAGCCUUGCUAGAGAGGAUGCCCCCGUGUCCGUGAUGGGCUGUGGGACAAGCAAGGUCCUUCCUGAGCCGCCCAAGGAUGUCCAGCUGGAUCUGGUCAAGAAGGUGGAACCCUCCAGUGGCACCAAGAGUGAUGUGUACAAGCACUUCAUCACAGAGGUGGACAGUGUUGGCCCUCUCAAAACUGGGUCCAUGACAUUCAGUCAGCCCGCACACCUCUGUCCUGGUGCCCCUACUACUGGCCACACAGAGCCUCCCUCAGAACCGCCACGCAGGGCCAGGGUGGCCAAGUACAGGGCCAAGUUCGACCCACGGGUGACAGCCAAGUACGACAUCAAGGCUCUAAUUGGCCGAGGCAGCUUCAGCCGGGUGGUACGCGUGGAGCACCGGGCAACUCGGCAGCCAUAUGCCAUCAAGAUGAUCGAAACCAAGUACCGGGAGGGGCGGGAGGUGUGUGAGUCGGAGCUGCGUGUGCUGCGGCGAGUGCGUCAUGCCAACAUCAUUCAGCUGGUGGAGGUGUUUGAGACGCAGGAGCGCGUGUACAUGGUGAUGGAGCUGGCCACUGGUGGAGAGCUCUUUGACCGCAUCAUCGCCAAGGGUUCUUUCACUGAGCGUGACGCCACGCGGGUGCUGCAGAUGGUGCUGGAUGGCGUCCGGUAUCUGCAUGCACUGGGCAUCACACACCGAGACCUCAAGCCUGAGAACCUGCUCUACUACCACCCGGGCACAGACUCCAAGAUCAUCAUCACCGACUUCGGCCUGGCCAGUGCCCGCAAGAAGGGCGACGACUGCCUGAUGAAGACCACCUGCGGCACGCCUGAGUACAUCGCCCCUGAGGUCCUGGUCCGCAAACCCUACACCAACUCCGUAGACAUGUGGGCUCUGGGUGUCAUCGCCUACAUCCUGCUCAGUGGCACGAUGCCCUUUGAGGAUGACAACCGCACCCGGCUGUACCGGCAGAUCCUCAGGGGCAAGUACAGUUACUCGGGGGAGAUGGAUAUCCAGGUAUGCCAGCACCAUUUGUUAAAGAGACUGUCUUUUUCCAAUUUAACUGACUUUGGGCCUUUGUCAACAUCCCAGAGCAGAAUGGUAAGGAUUAUAGUCACUGUGUGGAGGCUCUUCUAUUAGUUUCAGUAGUUUUCUUGAGGAUUCUUUAGGGUUUUCUGUGUAUAAGAUCAUGUCAACUGUAAAUAGAGAUGCUUUUACUUCUUCCUUGCCAAACUGGAUGCCCUUUAUUUCUUUAUCUAACCUAAUUGCUCUGGCUAGAACCUCCAGCACAAUGUUGAAUAAGAGUGGUGAUAAAGGGCACCUUUGUCUGGUUUCCGUUUUCCAGGGGAAUGCUUUCAGACUCUCUCCAUUUAGGAUGAUGUUGGCUGCUGGCUUUACAUAAAUGCCGUUCAUUAUGUUGAGGAAUUUUCCUUCUAUUCCUGUUUUGCAGAGAGCUUUUAUCAUGAAUGGGUAUUGAACUUUGUCAAAUGCCUUUUCUGCAUCAAUUGAUAAGAUCAUGUGGUUCCUGUCUUUUGUUUUAUUUAUAUGAUGGAUUACAGUAAUUGUGUCUCUAAUGUUGAGCCAUCCCUGCAUACCUGGUAUAUAUCCAACUUGGUCAUGGUGAAUUAUUUUUUUGAUAUGUUGUUGAAUUCUAUUGGCUACAAUUUUAUUCAGGAUUUUUGCAUCUAAGUUCAUGAGGGAUAUAGGUCUGUAAUUUUCUUUUUUUUGUGGUGUCUUUACCUGGUUUUGGUAUCAGGGUUACGCGGGCUUCAUAGAAUGAGUUUGGGAGUAUUCCGUUGUUUUCUAUGCUCUGAAAUACUUUCAGUAGUAGUGCUAUUAACUCGUCUCUGAAGGUUUGGUAGAACUCUGCAGUGAAGACAUCCGGGCCAGGGCUUUUUUUGUUGUUGUCUUCCCUACUUCUUAAAGUGAGUAUGUUGUUAGUUGCUGUCAAGUACUGCUCCAUAGGGCUUUCAAGGGUGUGACCUCUUGAAAGCAAAUCACCAGGCCUGUCUUCUGAGGCAUCUCUGGGUGGGUUUGAAUUGCUAGUAGUUGGGCGCUUAACCAUUUAUUCCACCCAGGGCCUCUAUACAGUGACUAUAAUCCUACCAUUCUGCUCUGGGAUGUUGAAGAUAAAAUGAGGUGGCAGAGGGCGUGGCGUGUCUUGUUGCCCUCUAGGUGAGGGUGGUUGGUGUCUGUGGGGCUUGGUCCUCCUGCUUCCUAUUCUCUGACUCUUCAGUUUUCUGCCCCAUAUGCCACAGGGAUCAGCAGGGUGAGCAGGGAUGAAUCUAACUCCUUUACUCCAGAACUAUGGGGAGAACUACCCAUGGACAUGGGAGAGCUGGGAUGGGAAAUGUGUGCUGGCAGCACAGCGGGAUGCAGAGAGGCAUGUAGUAUAUUUCCUGGCUCUUGCUUGUAUUUUGCUGGAUGCCUUUAAUGGCUCAGCUGUCCUGCCUCCAGUCUGGAUGGGCUGUAAUGGACCCAUCAGCUCACCACUCUUCCCUCGCUGUCCCUACUCCCAGAGUCAGAGGAUAGCUUUCCUGUGUUUGUCUCAGUAGCUGACAACAGAAGGAAACACAAAUUGGUUUAGAAUUUUUCUUUGCUGUGAGGCAGCCUUAAGCCCUUCUUCCUUGCCUACCUGCUGGUGGUGGCUGGAUGUCGAGUGCUGGAUGAUGACGCUGUCUGCAUGUGUGGUCUCAUGAGGGAGGAUGACAGAUGCCCCCAUACCUGUGUGGAAAGGACGCCCCCAUCAACAGAACUCCUGGGACACAGUUGGUGUUCAUGCGAUGUGUCUCCCUCCUUCGCUGCAGGAGCAGAAGCCCUCAGGCUCUCUCCCCCCACGUCCUUCUCUUUUCUGCUGCUCGCCCCCCACCUGCCCCCUGCCGGGUCCCAGGGUGGUGGAUUCUGUCUGGUCUGGAAG